CCUACGGGCGGCAGCAGGCGAGAAAACUUUGCAAUGUGCGAAAGCACGACAAGGUUAAUCCGAGUGGUUUCUGCUAAAGAAACCUUUUGUUAGUCCUAGAAACACUGAUGAAUAAGGGGUGGGCAAGUUCUGGUGUCAGCCGCCGCGGUAAAACCAGCACCUCAAGUGGUCAGGAUGAUUAUUGGGCCUAAAGCAUCCGUAGCCGGCUAUGUAAGUUUUCGGUUAAAUCUGUGCGCUUAACGUACAGGCUGCCGGGAAUACUGCAUAGCUAGGAAGUGGGAGAGGUAGACGGUACUCGGUAGGAAGGGGUAAAAUCCUUUGAUCUAUUGAUGACCACCUGUGGCGAAGGCGGUCUACCAGAACACGUUCGACGGUGAGGGAUGAAAGCUGGGGGAGCAAACCGGAUUAGAUACCCCGGUAGUC
rnacentral:rRNA from 1 species